UCUGAUGGCGAUCUGAAGAUUCCCCAAAGUUUGGGCUGCUUCACUCCUGCACAUGCUUAUGAAGUUCUCCUCUCGGAGUUAUCCCACUAAUCUCAGUGCAAUGGAAGUCUCUCUUGAUUACCGCUGUGCUGGUGAGAUCACAGCUUUCAUCCUUUUACCAUCCUCUUUGCCACUAAAAGAAAAAGAAAACUGGGAGGAUUUCUCUGAGUGGAAAAGCAGCAAAUUGCUGAUGACAUAGUCAUUGGUUGCCCUGGGAGUACUCACUGCAUCCUUCAGUUUAAUUUGCUUAAUGAAGCCUCACCUACCUGAUCUUUCUCACAUCUUCUACACAGCAACUAUAUGAGACAGUUUUUUAAGCGUGAUGCAUUUUAUGGGAGUCAAGGGAUUAAGGUGUCCUCUUCAGAGCUUGAUUUACAAACAUUUAGGUAUGCACGCUUCUGUGUAAUGUCACUGGGAAACAUAAUGCUACUCAUGAGGACCAGUGACUUUGGGGUUAAAACCAACUAGAGACAAAAUGGACCUCAAUGGGAUUCGGCCUGGCUGUGCAUCUCUCUCACCUCUCUGCAAUACAUACAUCUCUCACGGGACAUGGGAAAGCUCUCUGGAAGUUCUUACUCUCGAAGACUAAGUACCAGCUAAAGUCUUGACAGUGCUGGUUUGGAUCCACACUGUAUUCUUCCCCUCAAGUUUCUAAACUUCAAAAUAAAGGAGAAAAUGGAAGUAGAAAUUCUUAAAAACUGGAG